rnacentral:lncRNA from 1 species
AAAUUUUGUUAUAGAACUUGUGAUCCCUCCAAAUAUUAGUUGCAAAUAUAUAAAGAGAUGUCUAAUAUAUAUUAUCAGAGUUUCUUUGUCCUCGCCAUAUUUCUGGUCCAUGAACUAGUGCUCUAGCUUGUCAAAAUCCAAUGAAAUGUGCCAAACUUUUACACUAAAUCUAAUUUGAUUUAGCUGUUAAAAAAUGACCCAACAACAAAAAAUCAUCCAUUUGCAGCCCUGCAAAACAUUUAAUACUAAACUGUUACAUAUCCUCUAUUUGUUCAUGAACACAUUGACCAAACAGUAUCUCUUUCUCUUUGUUAGUAUUGUUUUAGACAUUGAACGCACUGCAUUUAUUAAAUUCUUUCUUCCUUAUAUGUUUUUCUAUAAUAACAGGGGGAAGAAUGUGGAGAAAGCAACUUUAAAACCAUAUCCUUCGCUACAACAAAAGAACAAGAACCCCACUCAUAAUACAUCCAUCCCCUCAAAAUCCCAUUUUUUUUGGUUAAGUGCUUUGAUUAAGCUAGAGAGAUCAGAAUGUUUUUAAGACGAAUAGUGUGUUGCCCCACAGGGUACAAUUGAUGAACAAAGAAGAUUUAUGAGAGUAAUAUCAGUAGAAAAAAAAAGAGAAAAAGGGUACCCCAUCAAAUCAUUUAAUAUUAAGCUGCCUCAUUCCAUGGCUAUAACAAGUUAAAGACCCAUCAAUUUAAUAACUAAUGGUUGUAGUCCCCCAUGUAGUCAUGUUUGAACAAAAAUUAGUCAAUUCAUCAUUAAAUAGUUGAAUCAGAGAUCCCCAACACCUCACAUGGCUAUCAUAGAGUGACAUAAAUCGGAGAUGUUUUUACGCAUGUGAAUCAAUCUAAAGAUUUUCAGAUAACUUUAGGUGAAUCAAAUUACAAGGGUCAAAGAUUUAGUAAGAUUGAUGUCUCACUUGAUUAAAUAAUUCUAAUCCUUUGCUCAAACUCCAAGAUUAAGUACAGAAAAUUAUGUAUUUUUUAUGAUUUGAAGCUACUCUGUCAGUCUCUGUUUUCCUCCUUGUCCUAGAUUUAAGCCUGUGUGCCAAACUAAUGAGUCUACCGCUGUUUGUUUGCCUCUAUAUAACCCCUCCCAUCUCAAAAUGAAAGGUUCAUUUAAAAUGUUCCUACCAAAUGUCGUAAUUACAUUUAAGAACAUAAAAACAUUCAAAUAUCUCCUAUGUUAGUUGGGACUUGGGAGUGGCACCUUCCUAGUAAGUGUAGAAUUAGUUGAUGUCAGCAGGCUCCUUUAGUCAUGAUAAUUGUCAGUUUAACAGUACUUAUUAUGAUAAAAAUAUGUCCUAAAUAGGGAUAUAUGUUGAUUAUGUUCCACAUCAGUUUCCCCCGCUCCCACCCACCCAACAUAGAGAGCCUAAAAAAAGGAAGCAUUUAACAGAGUUUGGCUUCUUAAGAAUGCUUUUACUUCUAACUAAUCUCACCUCUUUGGUGAAAGAUGUGACUAUGAGUUUACAUGAAAUGUAUUGGAGAUUCAAAAAGGAAAUAGUGAGGGAUUUUUUUUAGGAAGAUAAGUGUUUGCUUUACUUGUCUACCCACUUAAGUUCACUAAAAAAAAUAAAAAUAGUACCACAAGAUAAAGGGAUUAACAGUUUAUAUGCUCCCAAAAAUAAAUAAAGGUAUCAAGUGAGGCCACUCAGCAUUUCUAACCUACAAUUCAUCAAAAUAUCUUAAUAGAUCUGAAAUAGAGAAUCGGUUUUAAUACUGGCAUUAUAAUUUCUAGAAAAAAAUGUACAUGCGCCUGUUCAAUGUACCUGCUAAAGAAUGAAGCAACAUCAUGUCUCAGAGUUGAGGCAUUUAGCGAAAACCACUGCAAUCCUUGAUACCUGAAAGACAGAAGUAUUGAACAUUCAGAUCUUUGAAUUACCCAGGGAAUGCCAUGUGCAUAUUCAUUCAAUUCACCUAUUCGGUUAAUAUAUUCUUAUUUACUGGAAAAUAUAUUAUUGAAUAUCAGAAAGACGAUAAAGUUCUUGGGAUAACCACAACAUGACAAUUCCCCAUCUAGUGAAGGUUCAAAAUCAUAUUUCUCAAAUGGACCAUCUUUUCGGCUUCCUUGCGGAGUAAACUGUGUUAUCAACUCUAUCAACCUCAACAAGAGGUUGAAGAAGAAGAUUAUUGUCUUACACUAGUUUAAAGAAUGUUUCUAACGCCUGGAUAGCUAAUAAUAAUGUUAUACAAUUUAAACCAGAUAGCUAAUAUAUUGUUAUACAAUCCAACCAGCAUUAGCUAACAAAGUGGUAGCUUAACAAUCGUAAAUAAUUGGCUGGACGAUGUGAAGGUUAAAAGAAUCUUUGUCAGUAUAUUAUAGACUGAACUCAAAUUUGUCAACACGCUGUUUUCAGAAUUAAUACCUUCUCCAAUUUGAAGAGCUAAUCAGUAAAAGAAAGAAAUAAGGGAAACACCAUGUUUGGCCACACAAGUACAAAAUAAGUCAAAAGUGUUUUGGAGGUAGCAUGAAGAGCUGGAGGGCAUGUAAAACAGGGGAUAAGAUAGUAGGGUGAAAAUGCAAUCUCAAAUGCACGCUUUGAUUUGGUUUGAGGUUACUAGUAUUAAUAAUUUGAG